GUCCAAGCUAUUAAGGGCACACGGGGGAUGUCUUGGCAUCAGGAGGCGAUGAAGGGCGUGGAAGACUGCGAAAAGCCCGGGGGAGCCGUCAAACAGGCUUUGAUCCCGGGAUCCCUGAAUUAGCAUACACUGAAUAAAUAGGUGUAUGCGGCGAACGCGGACAACUGAAACAUCUCAGUAGCCGCAGGAAAAGAAAGAAAAAUCGAUUUCCUCAGUAGCGGCGAGCGAACGGGAAAUAGCCCAAACUCUGGAGGUUUUCCUCCGGAGGGUUGUAGGGCUUCUCAAUGCGAAGGUCUGGGUUAGCAGAAUUUUCUGGAAAGUUGAACCAUAGAGGGUGACAGUCCCGUAUGCGAAAACUGACAGACCUAGCGAGAAGUACCUGAGUAGGUCGAGCCACGUGGAAUCUCGACUGAAUCUACGGGGACCAUCCCGUAAGGCUAAAUACUCCCUGAUGACCGAUAGUGAACUCAGUAUGGCGACUGAAAGAUGGGAAGAACCCCGGAAGGGGAGGAACUGAACCUGAAACCGUGUGCCUACAAGCGGUCGGAGGGCUAUACGCAGCAAUGCGGAUGCCUGACGGCGUGCCUUUUGCAUAAUGAUCCGGCGAGUUACCGUCAACGGCUGGUUAAGAUCUUCAGGAUCGAAGCCAAAGGGAAACCGAGUCUGAAUAGGGCGUUUUGUCGUUGGUGGUAGGCGCGAAUCUGCGUGAACUACCCAUGAGCAGGUUGAAUCGCGGGUUAUACCGCGUGGAGGACCGAACCCGUUUGGGUUGAAAACCGAUGGGAUGACUUGUGGGGAGGAGUGAAAGUCUAAUCAAACGCAGGGAUAGCUCGUUCUCUCCGAAAUAUAUUUAGGUAUAGCCUCGAGCCACUAUGCACCGGGGGUAGAGAGACUGAAUCGACUUGAGGGUCAUUCCGACUACUCUGUUGAACCAAACUCCGAAUACCGGUGUAUUUAUCUCGGGAGACAGUCCGCGAGGGAUAAGCUUCGCGGUCGAGAGGGAAACAACCCAGACCAUCAGCUAAGGUCCCAAAGUCACACUCAGUCACAAAGGAAGUUGAAUUGCUGUGACAUCCAGGAUGUUGGCUUAGAAGCAGCCACCAUUUAAAAAGUGCGUAACAGCUUACUGGACGAGCAAUUCUGCGCCGAUAAUGAUCGGGAGUAAGUGUGACACCGAAGCUAUGGAACGCUAUGCGUUGGUAGGAGAGCGCUGAAAGGGAGACACAAGCCAUACCGUAAGGAGUGGUCGCGGCCCUUUCAGGUGAUUAUGCCGGAAUGAGUAACGAUAAAGCAGGUGAGAAUCCUGCUCACCGAAAGCCUAAGGUUUCCUGGGGAAGGUAAUUCCGCCCAGGGUUAGCCGGUACCUUAGUCGAGGCCGAAAGGCGUAGACGAUGGAUAGCAGGUCAACAUUCCUGCGCCACUCUGGUGGACCGAUGGAGGGACGGCCUUGCAACAGCAAGCGGUACGACUAGAAACGUCCGUCGGUUAUGGUUGGUUAGGGGAUAGGCAAAUCCGCCCCAAUAUACUGGCCUUAAUCGCGAUCGCAUUUAUGUUCGAGUAGUUGUUCGCGCAAGGUCCAAGAAAAUCUUCUAAGGGUUGAAACCAGAGUGACCGUACUAAAACUGACACAGGUAGGCGAGACGAGUAGUCUAAGGUGCUCGGGAGAACACUGGUUAAGGAACUCUGCAACAUGAUCCCGUAAGUUCGCGAUAAGGGAUGCCUUCGUAAGAAGGCCACAGUAAAUCGGCUUCAGCGACUGUUUAUCAAAAACACAGGACUCUGCUAACACGUAAGUGGAUGUAUAGAGUCUGACGCCUGCCCGGUGCCGGUAGGUUAAGGAAGAGGGUUAGCCGUAAGGUGAAGCCCGCGACCGAAGCCCCGGUAAACGGCGGCCGUAACUAUGACGGUCCUAAGGUAGCGAAGUUCCUUGUCGGGUAAGUUCCGACCUGCAUGAAUGGCGUAACGACUGAAGCACUGUCUCAACCAGUGACCCGGUGAAAUUGUAG
rnacentral:rRNA from 1 species